AAAAAGUAAAAAAAAAUGAAAAAAAAAACAGAGAAAAUGAAAAUUAGAAACAAAAGAUGGGGCGGUUGAUUAAGAUGCUGAGAGAGAUUUUUAUGAAAUUUCAAAAUGAAAAAAGUCUCCUCUCAUCACACCACAUAUGUCAAAGGGAGUUUAAAAAAUAAAACAAAAAAUCUCCUUUCCAGCCCUCUCAACGUGUAUUAUCAGAAGAACAAAAAAAUACAAUCUCCUUCUUCUCCAAACCAUUCUUUCUCGAGGUGCA
rnacentral:lncRNA from 1 species